CCUACGGGAGGCAGCAGUGAGGAAUAUUGGUCAAUGGGCGUAAGCCUGAACCAGCCAAGUCGCGUGAGGGAUGAAGGUUCUAUGGAUCGUAAACCUCUUUUAUAAGGGAAUCAAGUGUGGGACGUGUCCUAUUUUGUAUGUACCUUAUGAAUAAGGAUCGGCUAACUCCGUGCCAGCAGCCGCGGUAAUACGGAAGGCCUGAGCGUUAUCCGGUUUCAUUUGGCUUAAAGGGAGCGUAGGCGGGCGUUCAAGUCAUCUGUAAAAUCGAGCGGCUCAACCGCGCCCCGCAGUUGAAACUGGACGCCUUGAGUUCACAACAGGCAGGCGGAAUUCGUGGUGUAGCGGUGAAAUGCAUAGAUAUCACGAGGAACCCCGAUUGCGAAGGCAGCCUGCCGGGGUGCGACUGACGCUGAGGCUCGAAGGUGCGGGUAUUAAACAGGAUUAGAUACCCGUGUAGUC
rnacentral:rRNA from 1 species